CCACCACUAUCCCGCGAGGGGGGAAAUGAUAAUAGAGCAGCGGAAGCGGAAGAAGAAAAAGCGAGCUCUCCAACUGACUACCACCAACAACACUCGGCAGGUCUGCGUCUCUCUCCUUCCGACAACACAUCGAUAGCACAAUCUUCGCCUGUUCCUAUGCGAUUCUAUCGGUACAGAAUGGGGUUGUCGGUCGAGUUUUCAAGAGGUUGGACUUCGUGAGAAUUGAUAGGGGACGGAUAGGAUUCUUGCGAAUUGGGUGGAUUUCCUUUUGCGAGAUAAUCAGAGGAGAAGGAGAAAUCGGAAGGAUCUGCCAAGAAUGAACUUUAAUAAGCAUAGUAUGAUGGGAGAUGGGGGAGGAGGAGGGUCGGGAGCGGAGGCGAAGGGCGGCGGCGGGCUGGCGCGGCAGACGUCCGUCUACUCGCUGACUCUUGAUGAGUUCCAGAGCACGCUGGGGGGGCUCGGAAAGGACUUCGGCUCCAUGAACAUGGACGAGCUCCUCAAGAACAUAUGGACCGCUGAGGAGAGUCAGGUCAUGGCCGCCGUGGCCGCUCCCGUCCUCGACGCCGGCCUUCAGCGGCAGGGUUCCUUCACUCUACCCCGGACUCUAAGCCAGAAGACGGUCGACGAGGUCUGGAGGGGCCUCGUCUGCCUCCCCCAGAAUCCCCCGGCCGCCGCCGUCGCUGGCGUCUCGCACCACCAGCGACAGCCGACGCUCGGCGAGAUGACCCUGGAGGAAUUCUUGGUCAGAGCCGGGGUGGUCAGAGAGCAGCCGGCUGCUCCUUCGACCUCUCUGCCACAGAGACUUAAUGGUGAUCACAGUAAUAAUGGCAACAGCAACAACAAUGCUAUCAGCAACGUGCUUUUUGGUGAUCCACCAGUUGCAAACAAUGCCUCAAGCCUUGCUCUUGGGUUCACGCAGGCAAGUCGAAACAGUAGGGAUGUCGUACUGACCAAUCCGAUUGCAAACAGUUCAGUGACUAAUUUACCGAUGAUGGCCACUGCUGAGCCGAGUCAGUUCGUUGUGCCGCAUGGUGCUGUUGAUUUGGGGAACCCUCAGAGGAACAGAGGGGGAGGCCUUGUUGGGAUUGGGGAUGCAGGGUUGAAGAACGGAUUAAUGUCUGGAGCUGUUGGUUUGGGCACGGUUGCAGGUACAGUUGCAGUUGGAUCUCCAGCAAACCACCUGGCUUCAGAUGCACUUAGGAAGAGCGGUGGGGAUUUAUCUUCGGUGUCGCCAGUUCCAUAUGCUUUUGGUGGAGGGCUGAGAGGAAGGAAGCCGAGUGCUGUGGAGAAGGUGCUGGAGAGGAGGCAGAGGAGGAUGAUCAAGAACAGGGAAUCAGCUGCUAGAUCUCGAGCCAGGAAGCAGUUAGGCUUAUACCAUGGAGUUGGAAGCUGAAGUAGCAAAACUCAAAGAGCUAAAUGAAGAGUUGCAGAAAAAACAGGAGAAGAUGAUGGAUAUGCAGAAACAUCAGGUCUUCGAGAUAAUUAAUCAGCAGCGAGGACCGAAGAAACUAUGCUUAAGAAGGACACAGACAGGUCCCUGGUAAAGUUGUGAACGGACAGUGACGACGAAAUAUAUCAGAGUUCUUGUGCGGAAAGCAGUUGUUUAUAUCAGAUAAUGGUGUCAGCUAGUGUAAAUUAAGAAUCAGUAAAUCUAUCUUCUGGAUGUUCUUCUCUUAUCUUGCUUUGGACCUCCAGUUUUCGUAAGGGUGUUUCCAGUUGUUUGACUUUA